UCUGCUGGGGACCUCAGGCUGGCGGGCUUGGGAGGCAGGCCCGCAGCCGGCUGCCACUCGGCGCUCUGGGGCUCAUGAGAGCCACCCCGAGCCUGCGCACCGCUGGGGCGGGAUCCGAGCUCAGCAACCGCCCGGGAACCCCAUUUUCUCCCGCGCUUCUAGCAGCUGAGAUAAGGCCCAGAAUGUCACAGUCUUGGCACAGGAGCUCCAGCCCUCAGGUUUUGAAUACUAUCCCUCGAGUACUGAUUCUGAGAGCAUAUCCCUGCACGCGCAGACCUCUGAAUUUCUGAUGCACGUAUCUAAUGGACAACUUGAUAUCUACACAAGGUAGAGAAAUAAAAAACUCAAAAGAAAAACCCCUUCAUCCAGCUAUUUAAGACUGACCCGAGAGGACAUGACCGUGGAUAGUUGCUAAUCAGUGCGCCACAUUGGUCCUAACAAGCUGACAGCAUGCAGUUUAAAGAGAGCUAUUGUCUACCAUGCACAUCUUCACGUGAGUGCUAAAAUGAUAAAAUCUGCAAGUAACCAAGUAUCAUUCCUUACCUUGACUGCAUUUUCAGAACCCUCGUCUUUAAAGUCUUCAUACUUCAUUACUUCAGCCAUAAUGAAUCCCUUUUCGAAAUCUGUGUGAAUCUUUCCUGCAGCUUGAGGAGCCUUCGUUCCUUUCUUUGAAAAGGACCAGAGAAAACUAAUUGCAUUUAAAAAUGA